rnacentral:rRNA from 1 species
CUCGCAAGAGUGAACUAGCUAACUGAAAUCACAUAAAACAUAAAUGUGUUAAAUGUGAUAAGGUAAGGGAAAAAACUGAUGUUACCUUACUAUUAGUGUUGUCCAAAUCUGGUGCCAGAAGACUCGGUAAGACCAGAAACGCAAACGUUAAUCGUCUUUAUCAGGCGUAAAGAGUCUGUAGGCUGCUUUUAUAAUUCUAUUUAAAAAAGCUCUGAUAACAAUCAGUUAAAUAGGAUAAAAAUAAAAGCUAGAAUCAAAUAGAGGAUAAGCCGAAUAAUACUUAGAGUAGGGAUGAUAUCCAUAGAUACUAAGUGGAAUACUAAAGGUGAAAGCUUUUAUCUACUAAU